rnacentral:lncRNA from 1 species
CCUUUUUGUCGAAGGCUAUGUAAUGCCCAUUCGGUUAUGGACGCGGGUCAUGUCAUGUUAUUUAGCAUUUUGAGAAUCUUAAGAAUUUAUGUUUGUUUGUGUCAUUGGUAUAUGUUAACCAUUUUAGACAUUGAGAAACUGCACCCAAUAAUCCAAAAAACUAAAAUUAACAAACUAACUAAAAUCUCAGUCCCUCUUUUUUUCUUUUCUUUUUCUAUCUCUUUUAAAACUAUUUUUAUUUGUUAUUUC